AGGGGAGGGAAGACGCAGACUCCGCUUCUACAAUAAACAGCCAUAGUUUGUAUGGCAUUUUAAGACAUGCCUUGAGCUUCUGUGGAUACAUUGCCUUGACACAAAACCUUUCACAGAUGGGCGUUACACUUUACAUAGACUAAAACAAGGCCUAGAAGUAAUGCAUAUUGAUUGUAGAAAAUUAGACAACAAAGGUUAAAAGAAGAGACGAUAAUACUUAUAGUUCGUCACUUAGAAAUAACCACUAUGAAUGUAUUGAUGGUGUUACCUUCAUAUGGAGGACCCUAGAGGAUGUUGUAUUUUGCAGAAAGCUCACUAUACUGUCGGCCUUUACAGAAGCAAUUGAAAAUGCAUGUGCAGCAAUCUGAAUGACCAAGUUACCCAAACAGUAGUUUGCCAUACUAAUAAUUGUCUGAAAACUAAUGGCCACCAUUUUGAACACCUGUCAUUAUAGAGGCCAAAGGUAACUUGUAUUAAUCUCAUGAUAUCUCUAUACAUUUUUUGACAGACUGUGUGUAUACUUACGAUAGGGGUCCAAUUCCUUUUAUUCUCCUUCAUAUGGAUUAUCCUAGCUGUAUUCACAUUGAGAAGUCCAUGUUUUUCUCCA